UACAUCAUUACAACACUUGCCGUCAGUAUUUGAAUAUAUUGAUUAAGAAGGUUGUCAGCAAGAUGAAAAGGACAAGUAUGCAGUUCAAAAUUCAAAAUGUGGAUAAGUUGAGGUUCUAGGUCUUACCUUUGCAGAUUUUCAUAUUUUGCAUGAAUGAAUUCAAAGGUUAUAUGAUGGACAGCAGAGAAAGAAAAAACAACUUUUCAAUUAUCCUGCUCCUGGAUAAAUGUAAAACAUCUUGUUUUUCGAAGGAUUGAAAUUCACCACCUAGAAUAAAUGGAGAAAACAUAGAAACAAGACCAGAAUAAAUUCAAAGACAAAAGUUGGAUCAGUUAUUAUUUUCAUCACUCAGUCAAUGAUUUGAAGUUCUUUUAAAUUCAAAAAAAUAUUGAAACAAUAAUGUCAAAGUUCUGUGCCGAAUGUCCAAAAAGUGGACUAUACCAUCAAACAAUGCUGGAUGAUAAGAAACUAUUAAUGUUUUGUGUUGAGAGAUAUUGUGAAAAAAAAUAGAUUUACUUAAAUAGCUACUAGUAUGUUAAGCCUAACAAUAGAGUUUUUAUUGAUUUCAAAUGGCAAAUAAAUUGUGUUUCAAGAAAGUAUUCUAUAAUUCAUGAAUAAACAUAU